UGUUGUUUACAGUGUGUUAAAUAUAUUUGGUGUGGAGUUGUUUGUUUGUCUCAGUCUUAUAUAAAGCGAGGCUAGAGUCACAUCCUGAUGUUCUCAUUGUCUUGGUGUGCUAGAGUGCUCGCAGAUUAAAAACUCAAUGCCCAUUAUUUGGCUGCUGCUUCUUACUGCCCAGCCAAUCACCAGCACUGAAACAAAUGUUUGAAUAACAAAACACUGCCUGCUCUCUUCCUAUGGAUCUAAUGCCUGAUGUACUGAGAUGUUGUUGGAUCCUCAAGCUUUUCUUAGUGAUUUGGAGGAGAUUAAAGGAAAUGAUGGUUUGUAAUUCCCCAUUGUGCUUCAUAUAAACUGAAGUAAUGAGAAACUGGAGCAUUGGAGGUCUUCACCAUGCUAAAGGAUUUGGAGGACGUAAAGGAGAAUGAUGGUCUGUAAUUCCCCAUUGUGCUUCAUAUGAACUGAAGUAGUGAGAAACUGGAGCAGUGGAGGUCUUCAUGCUGAAGGAUUUGGAGGAGAUUAAAGGGAAUGAUGGUCUGUAAUUCCCCAUUGUGCUUCAUAUGAACAACGUGAAGUAAUGAGAAACUGGAGCAGUGGAGGUCUUCAUGCUGAAGGUGUUCAUUAAACUUCAUCAGGAAGAGCAGCUGGAGAGAUCAGUGAUGGACUGACAACAUGAAACAAAAGAUGUCAUUGUCCCUUUAUACUUAAGUGAUGAGUGAACAUUACUGUUGGGAGUAUUGUAUUGGGUAAUGUUAGUUUCUGUUAAAUGUUAAGUCACAUCACCUUACUGUAAAGUGUUAGAUUUUUAUAUCACAAUAAAUUCUGAAUCUUUCA